CCUUCCAUUUCUCUGGUGUUGUUUCAGCCAUAUUCUAGAUUAGUUUUUUGUCAACUAGUCUGGACAAGAUGAUAUCUUCUGUUUUGUCAUAGAUAAAAUGACCAUUUGCCUCAGGUUGAGGAAAGGAACCAUAUUUGGUGGGAAAUCACUGGAAUGGGACAGCCAUUGGAAUGGGUUUAAGAGUGCUCAGAAGAGGGUGUCCUCUCUUGUGGAAGUUAUAUCUAAGGGGUAAUAUAAGUUGUAUAUCUUAGGAAUAGCUUGUAUUGACAUAGAUACUGGUCAUGUAAUAGGUGUUCAAAUAUCUGUGGAACAUUGAAGAAAUGAAUGAAUGAAUUGAAAACCAAUGGAGAAAAAUAUUCUCUGAGGACAGGUUAUCCUUUUAUGUUUAUGAUUGCUCUAAGUUUUUAAAGUUUAUAAAGUUCUGGAGUUUCCCCUAAAUGGAAAAUUUUCCUAGUGUCUGGCCUUUAC
rnacentral:lncRNA from 1 species